rnacentral:rRNA from 1 species
GGAGGGGCUUGCGCCAUAUUAGUUAGUUGGUAGGGUAAUGGCCUACCAAGACGAUGAUGUGUAGCUGGACUGAGAGGUUGAACAGCCACAUUGGGACUGAGACACGGCCCAAACUCCUACGGGAGGCAGCAGUAAGGAAUUUUCGGCAAUGGAGGAAACUCUGACCGAGCAACGCCGCGUGAAUGACGAAGUACUUCGGUAUGUAAAGUUCUUUUAUCAAGGAAGAAAAGCAAGUGGCGAACCAUUUGUUUGCCGGUACUUGAUGAAUAAGCCCCGGCUAAUUAUGUGCCAGCAGCCGCGGUAAGACAUAAGGGGCAAGUGUUAUCCGGAAUUAUUGGGCGUAAAGGGUGCGUAGGCGGUCUAUUAAGUCAGUGGUGUAAUGGCAACGCUUAACGUUGUCCGGCUAUUGAAACUGCUAAACUUGAGUUAGAUAGAGGCGAGUGGAAUUCCAUGUGUAGCGGCAAAAUGCGUAAAUAUAUGGAGGAACACCAGAGGCGUAGGCGGCUCGCUGGGUCUUAACUGACGCUGAGGCACGAAAGCGUGGGGAGCAAACAGGAUUAGAUACCCUGGUAGUCCACGCCGUAAACGAUGAGUACUAAGUGUCGGGUUAAACCGGUACUGAAGUUAACACAUUAAGUACUCCGCCUGAGUAGUACGUACGCAAGUAUGAAACUUAAAGGAAUUGACGGGACUCCGCACAAGCGGUGGAUCAUGUUGUUUAAUUCGAAGAUACCCGAAAAACCUUACCAGGUCUUGACAUGUUUUCGCGAAAUGAUAGUAAUAUCGUGGAGGUUACCAGAAACACAGGUGGUGCAUGGUUGUCGUCAGCUCGUGUCGUGAGAUGUUAGGUUAAGUCCUAAAACGAGCGAAACCCUUAUCGUUAGUUGCCAGCACGUUAUGGUGGGGACUUUAACGAGACUGCCAAUGAUAAACUGGAGGAAGGUGAGGAUCACGUCAAAUCAGCAUGCCCCUUAUGACCUGGGCUACAAACGUGAUACAAUGGCUGUUACAAAGGGUAGCUGAAACGCAAGUUCUUGGCCAAUCCCCAAAAACAGUCCCAGUCCGGAUUGAAGUCUGCAACUCGACUUCAUGAAGUUGGAAUCGCUAGUAAUCGCGAAUCAGCAUGUCGCGGUGAAUACGUUCUCGGGGUUUGUACACACCGCCCGUCAAACCACGAAAGUUGGCAAUACCCCAAAA